AUGGGCGGGAUUCAUAAGAAAGAGGGGAAAGAGACGAAGCGGGAAGCAAAGUGAAAACCCGCUGAAUUUCGGUCACUUCGGCGCGAAUUUUGCAGAGCUCCUAGUCCUUCUCCUCAAGCUCGCGUCUCGAUUCCUUUACCAGAGAAGUUACUUACUAUCGCCAUAGCCUCUGCUCUCAAGUCAUUUACUUUUGAAAUUUGCGGAAAGGAAGACCUACUAGUGGAUUGAGAAAUGAAGUUUAAGGCAUAUCUGACGGAUAAUGGGGUAAAUCUCCUGGAGAAGAGAUUUCUACCUGCCCUAGACAAGAUGGGAAAAAUAUGCCAUCUCUAUUUGACUAGAGAAUAUGUUAUCUUCCUGCAUAACCUCCUUAAUGGUGAUGGAAUUCAAUCAAUUGCUCAGUUUCGUAAAGAAGCUCUGUUUGAUGAUUAUCGAAUCUCCAGCCAGAAUGAUGACCGUAUUGCGUUUACCGUAGACAUUUCGCUUCUCCACCGUGCAGUUCGUAGUAGUGUUAGCAUUUGUUCCGAGUUUGGUAAUGGUCCAACAGCGAAUCGACUCCAAAUUAAGUUGGUGAAGAAGUUGCCUCUGAAUUGCACUCAGUCAAUGCCUUUCCUUACAUUUGAGACUAAAGGUUACAAAUCUGCUGUCAUUCAGGAUGUACCGAUCUCAAAGCCUAUGUCAAGAGGUCAAGUUCUUGAACUUCAAACUGCUCUAGAUAUGGCACAGGAUUUGCCUCAGACGCUUGUGCAGUUUCCUGAUCUUAACCAGUUGCAGAACUUUGUGGAUCGAAUGAAGAAUGUUGGGGAUUUGCUGAAUGUCUCCAUAAGCAAGUAUGGAGAUUUACAUGUGCAGAUUUCCACAACGUUGAUCACUCUUGGUGCUGAGUAUCGAAAGUUAUUCGUUAUAGGGGAACAAGCAAAUGCUCCAGCUGAAGAUCAGAAUCUAAGUGCUCAGACUAGAUCAACCAGAGCAAUAUUGAGGGGGGAUGCUCAAUCUGUACAGGUGAGUGUGAAGCACUUUGCCAAGAGUCUUCAGUAUCACUUGGCCAAGCCAGAUUGCACUUUCUAUGGCAUUGCUCCUCAGGGCGCAUGCUUGACUGUGAUAUUUCAGUUCUUCAUUCCCGGCUCUCGGCAGACUGAUAAAUCAAUCAGUCUACAUUGCCGGCUUCCUGUUCUUGACCCUGGAACGAGUUGAAUUCUGAUUACCUUCUCUCAUUUGACGUUAUGAAUCUAUGUUAAUGCCAAAUUAAACAGCUAGAAAUAGACUAGAGAGGGAGGGCGGAGGUUGUCGAUUCAAGAAUUCAACGCCAUCACCAGUAAUCUUUACACGAACAUAAACCAUGUUUGAAAUGGUGGAAUCUGGUUCUGUCCCUAACAAUUACUUCCCUAUGAUACACCUUUGAGAUCAACUUUGCUAGACUGUGACAGUCCAGGCACAUUCUAAGGUUCUUCACAAUUCUAAUUGUGACCCCAGGCGGUGAAUUAAUGAGUCCAAAAGCAAUGGCCAGCUUCUCACUGUGACGAAAGACUGAAUUCUCUUUAUCCUCUUCUGCUAUAUCAAGGAACACUUCUGAGGUAUCAGGUGAAUACCCUGCAAAUUUCAGGUCUUGGGUCAUUUUUUCUAGCUUAACAUCAAUUUCUUUGGUUUGAGGGUGUGACCGGUCCCCAGCUACGAAUUCGUGAACUGUGCCGUUCAUCUCUAUCAAACUGCAACCAGGUAUUUUCUUGAUUCCUUUGUCCAUCAUCAUCUGUCUCAGGUCUCGCAGGUCAUUCCAUCUCUUGCAAGCUGCAUAUAUAUUACACAGGAGAACAUAGACUGCACCGUUCUCAGGCUCCAACUCGAGAAUCUGCUUUGCAACCAUUUCGGCCAUAUCGGCUUCUCUAUGAGCUCUACAACCAGCUAGAAGAGCCCCCCAGACAAUUGAAUUGGGUUCUAUUGGCAUGUUCUUGAUAACUUCAUGGGCUUCUUUUAGAUGACCAGCUCUAGCAAGAAGAUCAACCAGACAACCGUAGUGUGUUAUAUUGGGUUCAAUACCAUGUUGGGUUGUCAUGCUAAGGAAAAACUCUCGUCCUUUA